UACGUAGGUGGCAAGCGUUGUCCGGAUUUAUUGGGUUUAAAGGGUGCGUAGGCGGCCGCUUAAGUCAGUUGUGAAAUAUCCCGGCUCAACCGGGAGGGUGCGAUUGAUACUGGGCGGCUCGAGUAACAGCGAGGUUGGCGGAAUUGACGGUGUAGCGGUGAAAUGCAUAGAUAUCGUCAAGAACACCGAUAGCGAAGGCAGCCAACUAGGGGUUAACUGACGCUGAGGCACGAAAGUGCGGGGAGUCAAAACAGG
rnacentral:rRNA from 1 species